CCAACAGCGGAUAUGUCUCUCACACACACUAAUCCACACGUAGGGGCACAGUGUCUUUGUCUCAUUCACACAUACACAGCAGACCUCCUCUGUGACACUCACUAUUCUGACGUUAUGUAAGUCUGGAAGUUGGGAGUGGAGUUCUGCCGACUUGAGAUGAAGGACGCCACCGUCGCCAUAACCACACAGGACGUUCCUGGCUCCUGGACUGAGCAGCUCUGGGCUAGAAAAAGAAGUUUGGUGUUGCCAGUCUGGAGAGGAGAGCAGAGACGUGACUGGUAGAGAAAAGAUGUGGGACUGCAGUAAAAGCAUUUUCCUGUAUGCCCCACAGGGGAAUCAAAGGAGCAAAGAGGGGGGAGAAGGAGAGGAUUAUCACAAAGAUCUUUUGAGAGGGGGAAAAACUUUAAUGUUAAAAAGGUUAGAGUGGUCACGUAACCUCCCACACUGAAAAAAGAGAGCAAAUGAAAGACAGAGCUCCUGCUUCCAGCUCACAGGUUAUGGAAUUAUAAAAAGUUGCCAUGGAAAUGUAAUGUUAUGUUUAAUUCAGUAUGUCUCAGGGCAAAUAAAGUAACAUUUACAUUAA